AUGCCGGGGUUACAUUACAAUGCUGCCUGGGGUACCAGGCUCCUCAGCUGUGUUGUCCUUUGUCUCCUGGAAGCAGACCCCAUGGAAACCCAAGUAACCCAGACCUCAAGACACAUCAUCACAAAGAUUGGAAAGAAGUUGACCAUAAAUUGUUCCCAGAACAUGAAUCAUAAUGCUAUGUUCUGGUGUCGACAAGACCAAAGGCUUGGUCUAAAGCUGAUCUACUAUUCAAUUAAUGUUGGGAUUUUUGAGAAGGGAGACAUCUCUGAUGGGUACACCGUCUCUCGAAAAGAGAAGAAGAAUUUUCCUCUGUCAUUGGAGUCCACCAGCAUCAACCAGACUUCUGCAUACCUCUGUGCCAGCAGUUUAUCCACAGCACUGCAUAGCUAGC